UACGUAGGGGGCAAGCGUUGUCCGGAUUUAUUGGGCGUAAAGAGCGUGUAGGCGGCCUGAAAGGUCAGCUGUGAAAACUCGAGGCUCAACCUCGAGACGUCGGUUGAAACCAUCUGGCUAGAGUCCGGAAGAGGAGUGUGGAAUUCCCGGUGUAGCGGUGAAAUGCGCAGAUAUCGGGAAGAACACCCGUGGCGAAGGCGGCACUCUGGGGCGGUACUGACGCUGAGACGCGAAAGCGUGGGGAGCGAACAGG
rnacentral:rRNA from 1 species